rnacentral:lncRNA from 1 species
GUCGGCGCGAGCUCGGCGGAAGCGCCCGCGGAGCCCCAGGGCCACCGUUGGGAGGAUGUCCGUUAUUCUUUAGUGACCCGCGGAAACCUGAGACGCAGCCGUUGGGUGCCUGUUUCCCCGUAGAUCUUAGAACUACAGGGUCCUGGCGGCUUUCUAAAAUUUUCUCCUGAGCUUCCCCUUCUUUGCUCUCCAGUCAGCCAUUGUUUCCCUUGCCCACCCUUUCCCCCUAUUUGUCACUUUCAUAGGUGCUCCUUUUUACGCCCACCAGGUUUUGCAUUUGUCUCAUUUAAAAUUCCAAAUUUUUUCAGCCGUGUCCUCCAUUGUACCUGCAACAGAGCCUAGAUUUUUUUUUGUGGCACGGAUUAGCGGCAAGUUAAACCUUCCUGAAUGAGUUACAUUGCAGCGAAGUGUUUCUGCUCUUAUCUGUCCUUUUGGUCGACCUGACAAUUUGCCUUAAAGCAAAACAAAGAUUUCCUGAUUUUUAAGGAAACUAUGACAAAUUGAAGAGUUGGAAAGGGAUAUUCCAAAAGGAGUUAGUGCUGCGGAAAUCCUUGAAGUAGA